rnacentral:rRNA from 1 species
AGAGUUUGAUCCUGGCUCAGAACGAACGCUGGCGGCGUGGCUAAGGCAUGCAAGUCGCACGAAACUUUCUCGGUAGUAAUACUGGGAAGGUUUAGUGGCGAACGGGUGAGUAAUGCGUGGGUAACGUGCCCUGUACACGAGGAUAGCAGCGCCCUUCGGGGCUUUAGCGAAAGUGCUGGUAAUACUCGAUAAUGUUCAGGUAUCGCAUGGUACAUGGAUCAAAGGUGGGGACCUUCGGGCCUACCAGUAUAGGAUCGGCCCACGUCCUAUCAGCUUGUUGGUGGGGUAACGGCCUACCAAGGCGGUGACGGGUAGCCGGCGUGAGAGCGCGACCGGCCACAUCGGGACUGAGACACUGCCCGGACACCUACGGGUGGCUGCAGCAACGAAUAUUCCGCAAUGGGCGCAAGCCUGACGGAGCGACGCCGCGUGGAGGAUGAAGUCCUUCGGGAUGUAAACUCCAAUAGUAUGUCAGGAAGUAAUUCGGGUUAAUAUCCCGAUGCGUUGACCAGCAUACGAAAGGGGUGGCUAACUCCGUGCCAGCAGCCGCGGUAAUACGGAGACCCCUAGCGUUGUUCGGAAUCACUGGGCUUAAAGCGGGGGUAGGCGGGACGGUAAGUACUUUGUGAAAGCCCCGAGCUCAACUCGGGAAUUGCUCGGUAUACUGUCGUCCUUGAGGCAGGGCAGGGGUCACUGGAACCUUANGUGGAGCGGUGAAAUGCGUAGAUAUCUAAGGGAACGCCUGUGGCGAAAGCGGGUGACUGGGCCUGUACUGACGCUGAGACCCGAAAGCGUAGGUAGCGAACGGGAUUAGGUACCCCGGUAGUCUACGCCGUAAACGAUGCGCACUAGGUUCGAGGAUUCUGACAAUCUUCGUGCCGUAACAAAAGCGUGAAGUGCGCCGCCUGGGGAGUACGGCCGCAAGGCUAAAACUCAAAGGAAUUGACGGGGGCUCACACAAGCGGUGGAGCAUGUGGAUCAAUUCGAAGCAACGCGAAGAACCUUACCUGGGUUUGACAUGCACGGAUGCCCUUCCUGAAAGGGGAGUAAGCUGCCUUCGGGUGAAACGUGCACAGGUGCUGCAUGGCUGUCGUCAGCUCGUGCUGUGAAGUGUCGGGUUAAGUCCCUUAACGAGCGAAACCCCUGUCGCUAGUUACCAGCGGUUCGGCCGGGAACUCUAGCGAGACUGCCGGCGUUAAGCCGAAGGAAGGUGGGGACGACGUCAAGUCAUCAUGGCCUUUAUGUCCAGGGUUUCACACGUGCUACAAUGGGGCGUACAGAGCGACGCAAGACCGUGAGGUGGAGCAAAUCGCAUAAAACGUCCCUCAGUUCGGAUUGGGGUCUGCAAUUCGACCCCAUGAAGUUGGAAUCGCUAGUAAUCGCGUAUCAGCAAUGACGCGGUGAAUGUGUUCCUGAGCCUUGUACACACCGCCCGUCAAGUCAUGGGAAUCGGGAGUUCCCGAAGUCGCCACAUCUCGGUGGUGCCGACGGAAAGCCCGGUGACUGGGACUAAGUCGUAACAAGG